CAGGAGAGGCGGCGCGACUCGAGGGCUCCAGGGCUCCUGGCGGCGCGGCGCGACUCGAGGAGAGGCGUGGUCCUGGCGGCGCGCGAGGCGACGGCGGGCGAAGGCGAGGGCUCGGCGGCGCACCGGCGGCGAGCUUCUCCUCGUCCGCCUUCUCGCCGGUAACGCGUCGCCCUCGUCUUCUUUGCCUUCUUUUCUCCCUCGGGCGCUAGGGUUCUUGGCUUCUUCUUCUUGGUUGUGAGGUGAUAGGAGAUGUAUAGGAGGGGAGCAGGACGAGCAGGGAGGCAGAUCUGGAGAGAUGGGCUCCGACAAGGCAGAUCUGGAUGAGGCUGUGAUGGCCAUGGGUGGCCAUGGGGAGAGCUCCUUCCCGCCUUGGCUCACAAAUCGGGCACUCCUGAGAUGCUGGCGCUUGGUAAGUCGAUCAGCAGGAGCUACAGGUAGAGCUCUGCUUUUCUUCUCUUUUGUUUCGUAUGUAUAAUGAUGAUUGUUGAAUUACCUUUUUCCUAUUAUAUUCGCUACCUUUUAGAGGUGAAAAGUGGAUCUUAGAUAUUACCUUCUUGUAUAAAGUAGUUGAAGUUAAAUCUCAGUCUAUAUAUUUGUUGUUGUUUAUCCUUGCUUUGCAUAUUGCUUUAAUCUCCUAUAUAUAUCGCCUAUAUCUAUAGCCUUUUCUUCAUUAACAAGUCUGGUGGCUCUUACUGUCCUGUGAGUAAAAUGUGUAAUACAACACUUCAGUCCAUCAUUACUGGUUUCUCAGAGACCUGAGUGAGAAUGAACUGGUAUGGCCGAUUCCUACUAUACUUGGCAACCUAUCAUACUCUGGCAAACUGUUAGUAUCAUCAACUAUACUUUUCUUUCCCAAACCAUCUACCUUUUCUUUUAUUAAUGGUUUGUACAACCAUUCCUUUUCAGUUAUUUACAUGGCAACAAACUUACUGGACACAUACCACCAGAACUGGGGAACAUGAGUAAACUUAGCUACUUGCAGCUGAAUGAUAAUGAACUAGAAUGAACCAUUCCAGCAGAGCUUGGCAAGCUCACAAAAUUAUUUGAAUUAAAUCUUGCCAACAACAAGCUUGAGGGUCAUAUUCCUGCAAACAUCAGUUCUUGCAGUGCACUGAACAAAUUGUAAGUUUGUAGGCAUGCAUUUAUCACAAGUUUCAAUAGAACAAUUAUGUGUUUCUCAUGCCUAAUCAUUUUAUUCUGUUCUUAGCAAUGUGUAUGGCAAUAGACUGAAUGGCUCCAUCCCUGGUCAGUUAGCAUGUUUGUAGUUUCAUAGUUUCAGUUUGGCCAAAUAUGGAACAACUCCUGUCAGCAAUUCACUUCAUUGUAAGUUGUAACAACCAUUGUUACCAAGCUGAUAUCAUGGAUUAGGCAACGUUACUUGUAUAAAACAUUGUAUGCUUCAAAUUUAGUUUUCAACCAAGCAUGCCACAACUUGAGUUUUUUUUAUUACUUCUGCGUCAUUUGUUUUCUGUCUACCACUAUUUCCUUUAUAUGCUGCCCUGCAUCCUGCUCUUAAAGAAAGACUUUGCAUUUCUUUACCAAGUCACCGAGCCAUUCAACUUUUUGAUGAUGUUUUAAGAAAAGAGAAAUCUGACAGCUUCUUCUCGUGAUCACUAUGCAGCCUUAUUUUAGAUAAUCAGGACGAUGACCAGUGGCGGGUUGGCUUGAACUCAGCUAUGUUCAGAAGGGUGUCCAUCCAUGUGUUCGGGAGCUGGGAUGCAGUAUCUGUGUUCUGCAGCAAACUUGUUCCGGGAUAAUGUCAUGUAGUGUGUGAAUCUUGUUUUUGCUUUCUGUUGACUGGAGAAUCGAAGAGUUUAAAUGCCUUUUUUUAAAAUGGAAUCAAGCACAGCUGAAAGGUUAAAGAGACUAGUAUAUGAUAAUUUGUUUCC